AGCAGCCGUGGUAAUUCCAGCUCCAAUAGCGUAUAUUAAAGUUGUUGCAGUUAAAAAGCUCGUAGUUGAAUUUCGGGGUUAGUAGGUUGGUCAUGCCUCUGGUAUGUACUGGUCUCACUGAUUCCUCCUUUCUGAUGAACCUUAAUGCCAUUAAUUUGGUGUUGCGGGGAAUUUUGGACUGUUAC
rnacentral:misc_RNA from 1 species